UCAUAUUCUAUAUAUGCCACUAUCUACCACCAACACCACUAUCAUAAUAUAUACAUACCACUAUCUUAUUAUAUACAUUAACACAAAUUUCCAGCAGUAAGUCUUAAAUGUUUCAGUAUGUUUUUCAGGUUGACAUUUUCAGGGACGCAGCAGACCAUAUGGUGAACUACAUUGACCAAAUUUGGACCCAAGGCUUUGAGAUUGACUACUUAAGCAUUUGUUGUCGACUGGGCAUGGAUCAUUAUCAUGCUGUCACUAUACUUCUCACACUCAGAAAUCAAAUUGACACUGUACUAAGGGUGCUUUUUCUAGUCUAGGCAUGCAGAACCCAUGCAGUUGAUGUGGUCUGCGUGAUAAGAAGGUACUGAUGAAAUUCAGCUGUGAUUUUGCUUCCAACUAUAUUACGGCUCAGUGAACACUUUGCUUAAUGGGGUGGUUACUUCAACGAGCAUUUAUAGGCUACAUGGAUCCAUUUUUUUCAUUUGGUUCCAUUUGCAUCUCUUUUGCCAAAUUAUCAAUUCCAGGAGGUAAUUGAAGACCAUGUGAGAUACUUUGAGCUAGGGUCUUUCAUUUUUUCCAAAUGUUGACUGAGUCUACCACCACUUCUACUGGGAGGAAAAAUUGAGUUAAUAAGGACAACAGUAGACUUAGAUCUUCUCUCUUUGAGAAGGGGAGAAGGCUUCAUUAAUAACCUUGGCAUGGAAAGGAGUAUUACAGAUGAGCGAGCACUCUAUCAUCAGCGACACUGUUAUUGGAAUCUUACAUUGUUUCUCUCCUAAAGAUGCUGACAGAUAAGCUAUAUAGUGGACUACAGGAAAUGACAAUUGUGCAAAGUUUGCUGUGAACAGUGGGACUUGAGCUACACUCUUAAGCUGCUUGGUUCAUGGAUUUGGAUAGGGAUUAGGAAAAGGAAAGGGAAAAUGUGUGUGAAAUAUAGCUAUAUUUCAUUCACAUUCCACCUACUUUUUUCCUUUCCUUUUCUAAAUCCCUAUCCAAAUCUAUGAACCAAACGCAACAUUAAGCUUAUUAUUGAAGAAGGAAUUACUAGUGGAAAGAGUUGUAGAGCAUUUUCAGUGAGGUGUUGACACCUCUCUCAAGAAGCAAAGGCAACCAUACCUCCUGUGAAUUUGACUCAAAUUGAAAGGACUUUACCCUGGCUAGCCAAAAAAGCAAAGGUUUUAAUCUUUAGAAGAGACUCACACUUCCAUAUCCAGUCUUCUAAUUAGGCUCACUGGACAUAUCAUUGUUGAUAAUGAGGUCAUGAAAGUAGUUUUUGGAGCUAAAUAUGCCAUUAGAAUUCAGGCCUCAGGCCAUUGAUGAUUCAAUUAGUAGUUGAAAAUGAUCUCAUUUUGGUGAUUGGAAUCCUUACACAAAAUGGCUAUAGAUUUGUUAGUAUCCACUUUUUUGUUUUUAUUUUUUGAGUUUAUUUAUUUAUCUAUUUUUGAGAUACUUGACAACUUUAUCGCCGCAUAAGUAAAUAACAAAAUUAUUGGGAAAA